rnacentral:misc_RNA from 1 species
GCAGGAUGCACUCAGCAAUUGGGCUGCUCUUUGUUCCCAGCAGAAAACAAUUUGAUCCGCACUUCACUUGACAGGAGACAAUUACCACUUCUUUGUUCUCUCUCUUUUAUUAUGUGUCUUGGACCUCAACUUGUGCUUUGGGACUUUCUUGAAUGAUUUCAUUUUACUAAAAGCUAAAUUAUGUUUCUUAUCAUCUCCAAUCAAUCUUGGCAUUG